UACGGAGGGGGCUAGCGUUGUUCGGAAUUACUGGGCGUAAAGGGCGCGUAGGCGGCCUGCUAAGUCACACGUGAAAUCCCCUCGGCUCAACCGGGGAACUGCGUGUGAUACUGGCGGGCUUGAAUUCGGGAGAGGGAUGUGGAAUUCCAGGUGUAGCGGUGAAAUGCGUAGAUAUGUGGAGGAACACCGAUGGCGAAGGCAGCCCCCUGGGAUGUGACUGACGCUCAUGUACGAAAGCGUGGGGAGCAAACAGG
rnacentral:rRNA from 1 species